UCUGGGCUCAGAUGGAACCGGGCAAGGAAGCCGUGUAAACCCACAGUGAGGCCAAUUCCAGCGAAUCUUCCAAGGCUCUCAGAGUUUCCCUGCCAGUGCUUUUCAGGGCACCCUGAUGGCAGCUAACCAGCCCUUCCCAUCCUCCCACCCUUCAGCCCCAGAGCCUUCCUAUGGAAUCUCCUUCCUCAAAUGCACAUGGUGGGAGUUCCAGAGCGCGGAGGUCCCCCAGGCCGGAUCAGAGAGGAGAGAUCCAUGACACAGCAACGAGACGUCGCUCUCUACAAGCAGGUUUCCACCUGAGCGUUCAUCUUCAACUCUGGAAGUUUUGAAAGUUUAAACAAAUACAUUUUGUCCAUUAUCCUGUU